rnacentral:rRNA from 1 species
AGAGUUUGAUCCUGGCUCAGGAUGAACGCUAGCUACAGGCUUAACACAUGCAAGUCGUGGGGCAGCAUGGCUGUUGCUUGCAACAGCCGAUGGCGACCGGCGCACGGGUGAGUAACGCGUAUCCAACCUGGCCCCUUAGUAGGGGAUAGCCCGGCGAAAGUCGGAUUAAUACCCCUAUGUUUUCCCUUGAGAGCAUUCGACUGGGAACAAAGACUUGUCGCUAAGGGAUGGGGAUGCGUCUGAUUAGGUAGUCGGCGGGGUAACGGCCCACCGAGCCUUCGAUCAGUAGGGGUUCUGAGAGGAAGGUCCCCCCACAUUGGAACUGAGACACGGUCCAAACUCCUACGGGAGGCAGCAGUGAGGAAUAUUGGUCAAUGGGCGGAAGCCUGAACCAGCCAAGUAGCGUGCGGGACGACGGCCCUAUGGGUUGUAAACCGCUUUUGCGAGGGGAUAAAGUUCGCCACGUGUGGUCGUUUUGCAUGUACCCUGAGAAUAAGGACCGGCUAAUUCCGUGCC